GACGAACGCUGGCGGCGUGCUUAACACAUGCAAGUCGAACGGAAAGGCCCUGCUUUUGUGGGGUGCUCGAGUGGCGAACGGGUGAGUAACACGUGAGUAACCUGCCCUUGACUUUGGGAUAACUUCAGGAAACUGGGGCUAAUACCGGAUAGGAGCUCCUGCUGCAUGGUGGGGGUUGGAAAGUUUCGGCGGUUGGGGAUGGACUCGCGGCUUAUCAGCUUGUUGGUGGGGUAGUGGCUUACCAAGGCUUUGACGGGUAGCCGGCCUGAGAGGGUGACCGGCCACAUUGGGACUGAGAUACGGCCCAGACUCCUACGGGAGGCAGCAGUGGAGAAUAUGGCACAAUAGGCGGAAGCCUGAUGCAGCAACGCCGCGUGCGGGAUGACGGCCUUCGGGUUGUAAACCGCUUUCGCCUGAGACGAAGCGUGAGUGACGGUAAUGGGUAAAGAAGCACCGGCUAACUACGUG
rnacentral:rRNA from 1 species